GGGCAAGGCCGGCAGCUUACACAUGCAGUCGAGCGGUAGCACAGGGGAGCUUGCUCCCUGGGUGACGAGCGGCGGACGGGUGAGUAAUGUCUGGGAAACUGCCUGAUGGAGGGGGAUAACUACUGGAAACGGUAGCUAAUACCGCAUAACGUCGCAAGACCAAAGAGGGGGACCUUCGGGCCUCUUGCCAUCAGAUGUGCCCAGAUGGGAUUAGCUAGUAGGUGGGGUAAUGGCUCACCUAGGCGACGAUCCCUAGCUGGUCUGAGAGGAUGACCAGCCACACUGGAACUGAGACACGGUCCAGACUCCUACGGGAGGCAGCAGUGGGGAAUAUUGCACAAUGGGCGCAAGCCUGAUGCAGCCAUGCCGCGUGUGUGAAGAAGGCCUUCGGGUUGUAAAGCACUUUCAGCGAGGAGGAAGGUGGUGAACUUAAUACGUUCAUCAAUUGACGUUACUCGCAGAAGAAGCACCGGCUAACUCCGUGCCAGCAGCCGCAA
rnacentral:rRNA from 1 species